GUUAUUAGAGAUGAUGGAGGUUAAAAGGAUGCUGCUUAACAAAGAUAAAAGCUCACUUAGACUAGUAAUCUUUUUUUCUUUUUAAAGAAACAUAGGAUUACAGAAAUAUUUAAUGAAUUAAUAAGGUACUUCUCAACACAUUUUUUUCAUUGCCAACUAGUUUUUCCAGGUUAUGUACAUAAUUGAAAAAGUGUUGUGUUGCGUGUUAUGCUUUGAUGCAGUCUUGUUUUGUAAUCCAUUGCUUUCAAAUUUCUAUCAUCAUCUUCUAAUUAUCUUAAAUUUGCACUGUGCUACUAGAAUAGAAUGAUGGUAUUAUUACUAUUAUUACUGGCAGCAGAAUUGAAACCUGGAGUAUAAGUGGUUUGCAGACCAUUCAUAGAUUCAUGUAACCGUAGAGAUUCAUGGUUGAGUAGUUGAGCACCUGACUUCUAUGGGAAAAGCAGCGCUCUUCAAGUUACUGCCUAAUUAACAAACACACUUCAUGGAUUGAGGAUUUAAAGGGGAAGAAUGGUCAUGCUUAGUACAAUUGAAUGCAUAUUUGCUACUAAUUACAUAUACCUCACAUUUUCUCUUAGAGACCAACUGCUUUAAAAAUAUUUUAUUAAAUGUUUUUGUUACCCUGACAGAGAUACAUUCCUUUAAGGGUGUUUUCAGCAAAACAUUCAAGUUUUCAGGAAGUAUUAUCUUUCUUUCCUUUUACCCCUUUCCCAUUUCCAUGAAAUUAAAAGGAAAUGCAUAGCCAAGUGUUUUUUCCCAGAAGAAAAUAAUAAGAAAUAUGCUGAUUUUACAGAACAGUAUGAACAGUUAUAAGGGUCUAUGUAAAAGGCAGCGUGUGUUCAUUCUCCAUGCAUACUAUUAGUAAAAAUGAAUGGACUUUCUCCUCAUCUGUUUUUAUUUAGAGCAGGACCUUCUUGCAUUGAAUUUCCUGUGUCAGCUGUGUUCUAAUUCUGUAAAGCCUUUGGUUAAGGAACAGCUCUGACUCUAUAUCCCUAUCUUUUCCUUUCCCAUGUCUUAAUUUUGAGUUCUUAUCACUCUGAUAAUAAGCAGACAUUUCUGAAAAUCAGAAAUCCUGCAGUUCCACUUUAGUUUUUCUUUCUCUUCCACUACCUUUCCUCUCUUAGAACAGUAAAUAUGUCAGAUGGGAACCUAAAGUCAACCUCUGUGCUGUCUUGCUCUGACUUAAAUGCUCUCAUCCAAGUAGGUGGCAUUUCUCAUGAGGGGCCAGACAGAGUUAUGGAACACCACAAGCAGGGUAGCCUUCGGAUUUGACUUGAGAAAUUAGGAAGAAUCUGGUGGUCCUGACUAAGAGUGCCAGUGAUAAAAAUCCAGGUGAGCACAGACCAUUGUCAUAAGAGGGGCCUGCACACAGUUCUAGAUAGGUAUGUUUACAGGAAUUCGUGGUCUGAAUAGCAGGGCUAGAUCAGAUUUGAGAUCUGAUUUACCUAAUACUAGAAAGAAUGUAGUCAGUCAGGAGACUCAGGCCGGACUUUUUAUUUGAUAAAGAAAUGAAACUGUUGAUGUUGGUUUCUUCAGUAGGAUUUCUCUACUUCUUUUAGACUUCUCAAAAGGUUUUUGUUUCUUUAGUUGUUGCUUUUGUUGUUGUUCCCCUACCCUCAGAAAUCCUGUUAUAUAAAUAAAAUCACUAAUUUUCCAACUGUAGUAUCUAAUUGUUACAAGCUGAAUUUUGGCAAAUCAAAUGACACAAGGAUAAUAUUCCAAUUCUUUAUUUUUUCACAUUACACAGUUAUCCCCCUAAUUAGUUUUGCUGGGAGCACCCUCAUAUGGGUUUAUAUGGAAUUGGAAACAAUGUUGGUAAAUUAGAGAGUACAUUCAAAAUUAUGACUACACAGUGGAAAUAAGAAUGUAAUAAUCUUUUACAGCAAAGGCUGUACAGAUUGUUUUAAAGGAUUAAAGAAACAGUGAACUAAGGGAUGACAGAAAAUCAUUUGGAACAUAGCAAUUCCACCCUUGAACCUGUAAAUAUCACAUUAUAAAUUUUAUAUGUGAGAUUUUCAUUGUAUUAUACUACCAGAUAAAGCAACCAUAAACAUAGAUUGCUAAGUUUCUUAAUGCACAUGCUUUGAGAAAUGACCUCAAAGCACAACUGGAUAGCUGUUGGGAUUUUUUUCCUAAGUAAUACAGAGCUGUGAGGUUUGAAGUGUGUUCUAAUCAUUGUACUUUCGGAAUUUUCAGAAAAAAAUAGAGGUGAUGCUAACUUGUAUGUUUUGGAUUUUGUAACUUUGUUCUUGACAUGUUAUAACUCUGUAAAACGGAGCUAUAAAAUAGAUUAGACAGUUUACAUAUUUUUUAAAAUCUGAAUGAGUUCAUAUAGUUCAGCUAAAGAUGAAACACUGAUAAAAUUCAGUCAGUAUCACUAUUGAUUUGACAACAUUUCUCCUGCUCCUCUUUUGUCUGCUGACUCCUGCCAGCAAAAUAAAGUAGAUUUACUAGUACACUAUAAUCUUUAGAGUUCUUACAAGGCACAAACAGCAAUUUGCUACCUGAGAAUAGAAAUGCCAAAAUAAGAUAAAAUGUCUAUCAAAUUGGGUACACAGAUCUUUUAAAAAAAUUUACUCUACAUUUUCUUAAGCUCACUUGGAGUGAUUGGACAAAAGUGUUCAGAUUGAAAUGGAUGCAGUCCCCUGAUGUUAAAAUGUUGCUGGGACAAAAGUUACAUAUCGGGUUGUUAAAAAAAACAUGGCAGAAGCCUCUGUGGACUAUGUGUAUGUGAAAAUGGCACAUUUCAACAGCAUGAUCUGUCUAUAGGAUAAGAUGGUGGUUCCUCAAGUUGAGGGGGCAUCAGAAUAACCUGGAGGUUUGUUAAAAUACAGAUUGCUGAACUUCAUCCUCAGAGUUUAUGACUUAGUAGACCUAGAUGGUAUGCAAGAAUUGACAUUCUAGUAAAUUCUCAGGUAUUUCUGAAAUUGGUGGUCCAGGGACUCUACUUGGAGAACCACUUGAAUCACAAUUAUGUUUCUGUAACUAUUUAGAAUAAUUAGCAGGAAGCAGAGUGAGGAAAAUCCUGGAAGCUUAGAUUAGAUUGUAAAUAUGAAAUAUUGCAAACUGAUAGCUUAAGGCUGGCACCAAAGGGUUUAAGAAUUGAAUGUUCAUAUCACCCUCUACUAAAUAUGUAGGACACUUACCGUGAGACUGGGGAUUAGGGAUUCACAACAUUAUAAAGGGUAAAAAAAAAAUCCUUUCUAUACAGCCAACUAUUGAUCUCUACAAAUUGUCCGUAUAGCCUCUCUGUUAAAUACGCCUAUAAAUAGGAUCAACUUUGAAAUAGAAAUAUUUUAGGUUAAGCUUCAGGCCAUCCCUGUGAACUUUAUUUACACACACACACUCAAAUAUAUGUAUAAAAACCUGCAAAAAAUAUAUAGCCACAUUUGUGUAAAUAUGUAUACACACAUAUAUACGUAUGUAUUUAUAUACACAUUUCUAAGACAGUGUGAUAGGUGAACACUUACGUUUCCUAAACUUUAGCUUCAUUAUGUUAUCCUUUGUUCCCUAGAUUCACUAAAUAUUUCACAGCAGGCUCAAGGUCU
rnacentral:lncRNA from 1 species